UUCUUCGGUUUAUUAUGCGACCUACUUUGUGAUGACGAUGACUCAUCAACGACCACAACGAGCUCAAGUACUGAGGACUACUUCGACUUGUGUGACUGCGCCCCUACCACGAGGCGUCCCAACAAUAGACAGCAAUUUGGCCCGCCUGUAUUUAACAUGAGAUUGCCGCCAUCAAAUGGAAUGAAUUUCAGUAUGAAUAAUACUAAUGGAGUUUGGUCCAUCAACUUGGAUGCUCUACAACCAGGACAAAACGGCUUUGGAAUGGCAACACCCCCAGCCGGCGGUUUUUCGUCACCGGCUCCAAGCGUUGGUACCACCGCAGCAGGAACCACAGCAGCACCUACCACUGCAGCUGCAUAAUAAAUAAGAAAAAAAGAAAUUAUUAAUUUUAUAUCGCCUUUGUCUGUUUCGUGAUAAAACUUUGUCUCUUAGACAAGUUCCAAAAUUACAAAAAUACAUUGUCCAGGUAUAAAAAAUUAAAACCCGGUUUUGUUAGUAAUGUAAAUUCUGUGAAAAUCUUUCAUAAUAUUAUCUAACAUUUGUUUAUAUACGUCAAGUAGGUACAUAAAAAUAUAAGCAUUAUAUAAGG